AUUGAUUAAAAAGGCUUGAGCCCAAUACAAAGUAAGAGUACAUUGAAACAAAUUAAGAGUAACAAACAAGGCUCACCCAAACAGUCUUGUGAAGAAACCCUAAUAUGUAACGGGUAAAAUCACUAUACCCAUGACCCGAUAGCCAGGAAGAGGCAGCCAUGAAUAACUCCGCUCCCCAAGUGUUACUAUCAGUUGGCGGAGAAAACAGAUGACCUCUAUCCUAUAUGUGCCAUGCAUGCUUAGAUUCAAACUGAAGAACAAAGAAAAUCUCAAGAAAACACGGACAUCUUCUUCUGGAUCUACGUGGUUCCAAGCGAUUUCAAAAAACCCUAGGCCGACAGAAAGUAUAAUCUCUCAGAACAUCCUAACAAUCGGCGAAGGAAGGAAUUACCAGAGCUCUCGGCGAUCCACUCGCGCCUUACAGGCUACAUACAACCUAACAAAAUACCGACCUUAACUUAGAACAUCCUCUCACCAUAAAAAUCCAAGAACUGGCACCGAUGUCUAAUUUGUCUUAACCUAUGAAACACAGCUCUGUUUGGAUAAU
rnacentral:misc_RNA from 1 species